GGAUUCCACACAGGAAGGUCACACCAUCCCUCACCAUCAUCAGAGUGAAUAUAGAUAUUCUAAAGUUGAAGUUAAAAAAGAGAUAAAAGAGGAGGAUGAAGAAGAUUGGGUGUUGAAGAAGUCAGAGAUUCUAAAAAAA